rnacentral:misc_RNA from 1 species
UUAAGUUCAGCGGGUAUCCCUACCUGAUCCGAGGUCAAAAUUGAAAGGUGGGCUUAUGGAUGCCGCUAUCCGCCGCGAGAGACGCAAGUCUGCUGCGCUCAAAGCCGCUGAAGUGGCUGCCAAUAGUUUUGAGGCGAGUCCGUGCCGACGGCAGGACAGACGCCCAACACCAAGCUGCGCUUGAAGGUGAAAAUGACGCU